UAUACUCUAUUUUUCUCAUUUUAAGUGCAGCUUUAUUUAAAUUUUUUUUAUGAUUAGCAUUUUUGUUAUUAUUAGAUGAAAAACAUGAAUUGCACUUUAUGCGUGACUUAUGUUUUUUAUUUUUUUUUCAAAUAAUUUUAAAUAAGACGGAUGAUCAAAGUUGGACACGGAAACUCAUGGUUGCACUUAAA
rfam:Oryza nivara chromosome 1, whole genome shotgun sequence.